GGGAGUGGCUCAACGGUAGAGCAACGGUCUCCAAAACCGUUGGUUGCGUGUUCGAAUCGCGUCUC
rnacentral:tRNA from 2 species